AGUCUGAAAUGGGAGAAAACUCUUCUAGCUGAAUCUUUUUUGUGCUAGAAAGCUAUGGACUGCAGAUAUUUUUGCCAUAGAUAUUUAGCAAUACAAGAAACAAACAAUCCAAAAUGAUUGAAUUAGAGAUUUUGCUAUAGAACAAACACUAAUCAGAACAUUCCUAUCACUGAAGAAAUUCACCCUUUAACAAUCAAUGGAAUUAUUGGAGCUACAAAGCACCCAUUGCCAUGGUAUAUAAGUGCCUGACCAAGAAAAACUGCUGAGUAUCUCCAUAAGUCCCUAUCUGAUACUUGAAGCUUAGCUCAAGUCCACUGAACAACCUUUCUAUGAGCCUGGCUCAAGCCUUGUGUUUGAAAUGAAACCUGGAACCGGAAAAUCAAUUUUGGGAGAAAAUGGAGCUGUGAUUGGUAGAAAGACAA
rnacentral:lncRNA from 1 species